rnacentral:rRNA from 1 species
CAGCCGCCGCGGGAAUACGGAGGGGGCUAGCGUUGUUCGGAAUUACUGGGCGUAAAGCGCACGUAGGCGGCUUGGUAAGUUAGAGGUGAAAGCCCGGGGCUCAACCCCGGAACUGCCUUUGAUACUGGGUGUCUUGAGUGUGGAAGAGGUCAGUGGAAUUGCGAGUGUAGAGGUGAAAUUCGUAGAUAUUCGCAGGAACACCAGUAGCGAAGGCGGCUGACUGGUCCACAACUGACGCUGAGGUGCGAAAGCGUGGGGAGCAAACAGGAUUAGAUACCCCCGUAGUCCCUGUCUCUUAUAC